rnacentral:rRNA from 1 species
AUUGAACGCUGGCGGCAGGCCUAACACAUGCAAGUCGAGCGGAGCGGCGGACGGGUGAGUAAUGCCUAGGUAUCUGCCUGGUAGUGAGGGGAGACGUCCGGCAAGGGGCGCUAAGUCCGCAUGCUAUCAAAUGAGCCUAGGUCGGUUUAGCUAGUUGGUGGGGUAAGGGACUACCAAGGCGACGAUCCCUACCUGGUCUGAGAGGAUGAUCAGUCACACUGGAACUGAGACACGGUCCAGACUCCUACGGUAGGCAGCAGUGGGGAAUAUUGGACAAUGGGCGAAAGCCUGAUGCAGCCAUGCCGCGUGUGUGAAGAAGGUCUUCGGAUUGUAAAGCACUUUAAGUUGGGAGGCGUUACCAACAGAAUAAGCACCGGCUAACUUCGUGCCAGCAGCCGCGGUAAUAC